GCGGGAGGGCGAAUGGGCGAUCCUGGAACCGCUGGUGGCCGGGACGGGCGGGGAUGGAUCGGGCUGGGACACACGGGGAUGGAUUAGAUGUGUGAUACGCGGGGAUGGAUUAGAUGUGUGAUACACGGGGAUGGAUUAGAUGUGUGAUACGCGGGGAUGGAUUAGAUGUGUGAUACGCGGGGAUGGAUCGAUGUGGGACACACGGGGAUGGAUCGGGCUGGGACACACGGGAAUGGAUUAGAAGGCCUUGUGUGGAUAGACAAGGAGCUCUUGGACAAGCUCAGACACCAAAAGUGCACAAGCCUAUGGAGCGUGAGAGCUGGAGCUGAAACCUGGCAGGAAUACAGAGAGGAUGUCCCAUCAGCCAGGGAUCACGUUAGCGGAGGAUGUGCUCCAGCCACACUGCCCGAGCUGCAGAAGGGAAAGGCGGGGACUGGGGGACUGAAGUCACCUGCUGGAGAAGAUUGGAUCCAGAGCUAUCUAAAGCACCUGAAGGUGUACAGGCCCACGGGACCUGAUGAGAUGUAUCCACACAUCCUAAAGGAACUGGUGUCUGGAACUGGUGACACAGGCCUUCAUGUAUUUUAGGUGUGUUUCCUUGGAGAGAAGCAAGAGGUUUGGACACAUUCCCUAUUUUUACCAGCUAUUUUUCCCAUGCAAUCCUUCAAAACCCGACAGGGCUACUGCCAAAGCUGAACCCUGUGGGGUGUAAGGAAUGUCCCCUGCCUGGGGGACACAUCCACCCCCACAAGUGCUCAUGGCAUUGCUGGGCUCCCCCAGCCCCACUGCAAGCUCCCCAUGGCAAAGCUGCAGGCAGCAGGCACCGUGCUUCACCCUGCACAGCCCUUGCUAUCAGUCAGGGGCUGUGGGAUGCAGAAUUUGAAUCUGAACCCACUCUUUUUUAUGCCACCACAUCCAGUUUCUGACACAGGCAGCAUUGCAUGGACAGAUGGGCAAGAAAAAGAUAAAAGCAGUGUUCAUUGCCCUGUGAUCCCAGCUUCCAGGAGCACUUGUGUAACACACACAGUGCCACUGCUUCCUUUGUUCCCUGUAAAGAGGCUCAGUUUGGGCCAAGGCCCAAGCUCAGCCCCUGCACUGAUCAGAUUUGGCUGCCAGCCUGGUGAGUGCCUAUACUGUGGUCACAUCAACCCUCCUGCCUGCCAGCAGCUCCUUGCAGUUGCUAGGAGCCAGCGUGGAAGGGACCAGGAGGGGGAAAAGGGAAGCACAGAGGUGGUUGGAGGAGCUGUGUCCAUCAUCCAUGGCAGAGGCCUUGCUGUAACCUCAUGGUGUCUGUGAUGGGGUUUCCUGGCUCUGACUGGACUCCCAUCAGUCAGCUACACACUGAUCCCAAUCCUACACCAGGACUCCCAUCAGUCAGCCACACACUGAUCCCAAUCCUACACCAGGAUUCCAGUCAUGAGCUCCUACCAGGCAUGGCUCAGCAGAACUUUAGUUCCAGGCAGCUUUAGGUCUAGUGAAGGCGACCUUUUGAUUUACCAGACACCCAGGCUCCUGGGCUCAGCUGUCAGCAGAGUAGGCAAGCAGCUUGAGAUGUGGGAAAGGCAGUUUUGUAGCACAAACCCCAAAUCCUGCAACAGGACAAUUCCUCAAAAAAGCAGGAACUCUUCUUAUCUUCAAGGCUGAAGAGCAGCAUGGGAAAAGCAAAGCUGUUCUGGUUAUACCAAUAGACUGGAAACAUGCCCUAGCACAAUGCUCCCUUUUUCCUAUGUGCUGCUGCUCUGUCCUCUAUCUUUAGCCCUUCCAGCUGCAUCCCUGCAUGCAUGCUCGUACCAAAAAUGCCCAAGCAGAGUAAAAACCAGUAGCCCUUAGCCUCUGGUGGCUAUAAUUCAGCAAUGGCCUGGGGAACCUGGCCCCAGCUGCUGCAGGACCCCCCCAGGAGGAAGCACAUUCACAGCACAUCAGCUGUAGUGCACUUUGCUAAAUCUGAGUGACUUUCUGCAUGUCCAAGUGAGGAACAGUCCACAGGAGGCAGGAUGGAAAUUGCCCUUGGGGAUUUCACAAGGGUGCUGUGAAACACACACAACUUCUCAGCUUUUCUGAGAACUCAGCUGCUCAGCAGUGAAGCUUGUGCCACCACGUCUUCCCCCACAGGGUGAGGUGACACUCAGGACAAGGAACAGCCAUGAUGGGGCUGGCAGAAGCAGUGAGCUUGAGGCCCACAAGCACAAAAAUAAACCUGCUGAAAAAAAAAAAAAAGAAAAACAUCAGUUUUGCAAGUGGAACAGCAGGAAAUGGAGGGAAGAAACCACACAAGGUGGAAUUUGGAAAGACUUAGCUCAAAUCUAAAUGUCUCUACAUUUUGCCCAAAGGUCAAAAGGGUAUUGAUGCCAACCCAAACUGAGUGGAGCUCCAGCAACCUCUGUUCAUACAUUCAGAGACGCCAGGCUUCUGUGUUUGGCACGACCAUUUAAUAGCAGAAUUGAAAACUCAGUAUGUUCCAUUUUAGUCUUAUGUGGAAAAUCAGUGCAGGUGAUAAUCUAAUUGUACAACAACAUGUUAAAAAAAUUUAUUUUACAUUAUAUACAUUAGGGAACAUAUUUCAAAGCAUUACCCAUCACAACAAUAACGCAGGCCAUAAAUCACUUUUAAUUUAGUUUGGUUUUAGUGUAUAUUAUCACAAUAAAAUAUAAAGAACAUAUACAAAAAAAAGGAGUCAAAUGUGUGCAUUUUGCUUAAAACUUGGCAUUUACACACUCCAUUGGAAAAUAGCAAUCAAAAAUACUUCUGAUCAAAACUAAGUUCCC